AGUGAACGCUGGCGGUAGGCCUAACACAUGCAAGUCGAACGGCAGCACAGUAAGAGCUUGCUCUUACGGGUGGCGAGUGGCGGACGGGUGAGGAAUACAUCGGAAUCUACUUUUUCGUGGGGGAUAACGUAGGGAAACUUACGCUAAUACCGCAUACGCCCUACGGGUGAAAGCAGGGGAUCUUCGGACCUUGCGCGAUUGAAUGAGCCGAUGUCGGAUUAGCUAGUUGGCGGGGUAAAGGCCCACCAAGGCGCCGAUCCGUAGCUGGUCGGAGAGGAUGAUCAGCCACACUGGAACUGAGACACGGUCCAGACUCCUACGGGAGGCAGCAGUGGGGAAUAUUGGACAAUGGGCGCAAGCCUGAUCCAGCCAUACCGCGUGGGUGAAGAAGGCCUUCGGGUUGUAAAGCCCUUUUGUUGGGAAAGAAAAGCAGCAGGUUAAUACCCCGCUGUUCUGACGGUACCCAAAGAAUAAGCACCGGCUAACUUCGUG
rnacentral:rRNA from 1 species